rnacentral:rRNA from 1 species
UUGUACACACCGCCCGUCACGUCACGAAAGUCGGUAACACCCGCAGCCGGUGGCCCAACCCCGUGUGGGAGGGCGCUGUCGAAGGUGGGACUGGCGAGUGGGACGACGUCGUCACAAGGUAGCCGUACCGGAAGGUGCGGCGGGAUCACCUACGGUCUAAGGAG